rnacentral:piRNA from 1 species
UUCAUCGCUUGACGAGAUUGA